rnacentral:rRNA from 1 species
GGAUCCAGACUUUGAUCAUGGCUCAGGAUGAACGCUAGCUACAGGCUUAACACAUGCAAGUCGAGGGGAAACGAUAGAGAAAGCUUGCUUUUUCUAGGCGUCGACCGGCGCACGGGUGAGUAACGCGUAUCCAACCUGCCCACCACUUGGGAAUAACCUUGCGAAAGUAAGACUAAUACCCAAUGAUAUCUCUAGAAGACAUCUGAAAGAGAUUAAAGAUUUAUCGGUGAUGGAUGGGGAUGCGUCUGAUUAGCUUGUUGGCGGGGUAACGGCCCACCAAGGCGACGAUCAGUAGGGGUUCUGAGAGGAAGGUCCCCCACAUUGGAACUGAGACACGGUCCAAACCCCUACGGGAGGCAGCAGUGAGGAAUAUUGGUCAAUGGGCGAGAGCCUGAACCAGCCAAGUAGCGUGCAGGAUGACGGCCCUAUGGGUUGUAAACUGCUUUUAUAAGGGAAUAAAGUGAGCCUCGUGAGGCUUUUUGCAUGUACCUUAUGAAUAAGGACCGGCUAAUUCCGUGCCAGCAGCCGCGGUAAUACGGAAGGUCCGGGCGUUAUCCGGAUU